UAUCCUCUUUUACCCUCAAAUACCCAAACAUUCUCUUAGUCAAAUUUUAUUUCAUUCUCAAAUUUUCAAAAUACUCGAUCUAUCUUCUCCAUUCCAUCUGAAGAUUGAGUUAAUUUGAUGCAUCCUUCCAUGUCUACGAUGGAUCUGAGUUGAAGCAUGCAUCAAUUUUUUUUCUUUCUGCUCGAAUUGAGGUAGAAUAAGCGGUUUGAAGAGAAUAGAUAAGUAGAACGAAAAUGCAAAAUAGAGUUGGUAGCAGAUUGGUAACCGAAAAACGUCAUGAUGAAGAAGUACGACCAUACAUUCAACAAUUAAUAAAAGCUCGGAGCUUCUCUCAAGCCCAAAUAUCUGAGGAUAACAAUUCUAUUGACACUGUUGUUGAGCUGAACAAUGAGCCAUGUUGUUUCUUGAAACUUAAAUUUAUAGAUUAUCUCCAUAAUAAGAUCUAAUUACAUGACAAUGUAUCUAGUACUAGUUGAAUCUAGGAUUAUAUUCCAUCAUUUGAUAGUUGCAUACAUCCCCAAGAACGUAGAGAGCUCUCCUCUUAAUUUUCUUAGGCUCUCUAUCAACCUCUUACCAGAAAUAUGAAAAAUCAUACAUCUGCUUGUUAAUUGUGGAUACAAGUAGUAGUGAGUUGUUAUAUUUUCCUCUCUAAAUGAUUGGCGAGUAUUUGACGACGAAGAAAAGACAAAGUUGGUGGAGUUUGUGAAGAAAAAGUUCUCCAUUCCGAUAUGUGGAGAAGAGUUUGUGAAGAAGUCGAUAGGAAAAAAAUGGAGAGACUAUAAAAGUGACUUGAAGGCUUUGUAUGUGACCAAAUAUAAGACCAAAGAUGCCUUGAUGAAAAAUAGACCAAGUCACAUACCAAGGGAUCAAUGGAACCCUCUUGUCUCGUAUUGACUUUUUGAAAAAGCGAAGCACAACAACUUUUCUACAGAUAUCUAAAGAUCCUUCGAUAUUGCACAUAUGGUCGUGAUUCACACUGGGGAAAAGAAAUAAGGACUCAAUCUCCUACUUUUUUCAUUGUUGAACACAUCAUCUCUCUCUUUUUGAUAACUUGAACACAUGAUUCUUACUGUUUAGAUAAUUCAUACCUUUUUUUACCACCAAAAUACAAGAAAGUUGAUGUAUUUGAUUGAUCUUGUUUUAUAUGAAUGACUU